rnacentral:rRNA from 1 species
UACGUAGGGUGCAAGCGUUGUCCGGAAUUAUUGGGCGUAAAGAGCUCGUAGGCGGUUUGUCGCGUCUGCUGUGAAAACUCGGGGCUUAACCCCGGGCCUGCAGUGGGUACGGGCAGACUAGAGUGCGGUAGGGGAGACUGGAAUUCCUGGUGUAGCGGUGAAAUGCGCAGAUAUCAGGAGGAACACCGGUGGCGAAGGCGGCGCACUGGACGGCAACUGACACUCAACUGCGAAAGCGUGGGGAGCAAACAGG